rnacentral:rRNA from 1 species
CGGAGGAUCCGAGCGUUAUCCGGAAUCAUUGGGUUUAAAGGGUCCGUAGGCGGGUUUAUAAGUCAGUGGUGAAAGCCCAUCGCUCAACGAUGGAACGGCCAUUGAUACUGUAGAUCUUGAAUUAUUAGGAAGUAACUAGAAUAUGUAGUGUAGCGGUGAAAUGCUUAGAGAUUACAUGGAAUACCAAUUGCGAAGGCAGGUUACUACUAAUGGAUUGACGCUGAUGGACGAAAGCGUGGGUAGCGAACAGGAUUAGAUACCCUGGUAGUCCACGCCGUAAACGAUGGAUACUAGCUGUUCGGAGCAAUCUGAGUGGCUAAGCGAAAGUGAUAAGUAUCCCACCUGGGGAGUACGUUCGCAAGAAUG